GGCUUUGUAUUCUAAAUUAAGAUAUUGAGUUGCAAAUUCAAAGAUGUGUUGUACUAAGGCUU
rnacentral:tRNA from 1 species